AAACCUUCAAACCUUGCAAGCACCUGUAAUGCAAGGAAAUACAGGUCAUGAUGAUAUAGAAAUUGAACAGGACAUGUGGACGUUGAAGAGUGGUACUGAUGGCAGCCUUCAGCUCUGUGAUUACCUUUGAAUACUUUUGAACAUCUUCUUCAAUUUGUUGGAAGUAUGCUGAUCUGAGGCACAAAGAAAGAAACUCAUUUGGUUCUAAUUUAUGACCUUUUCCAUUCCCUUCAAAUAAAGGUUAACCAAACAGAUUAUUUCUUGAUGUUAGAUUUCUUUAGAAAGCAAUACGUACCUCUUUGUAAUCUCUGCUAGUGCAUCAGCCAUUCCCUGCUUUCCGCCAGCACUGCUCGAAGCUGGACCCUUUCUUCCAGUAGGUGAUUUAGUAAGCUGAUUUCCUCCUUCCACCUUCCCCUUAAGCGCUCGAUACAAAGUGGAGGAGGUGGUGGAGCAGCUCCAUUUCCGAGAGGCAUAGGUGGUGGCGGUGGCAAUGGCAUCAUUCCUUUUGAAGACAUCAUGAGUGGUGGUGGAGGAGGUGGUGCGUUUCUUGCAGUUGAUGUUUGAGGUGGUGGUGGUGGUGGUGGUGGUG